UUUCCUCCGGGUGCUCCGGUUUCCCCCACAAGUCCAAAGACAUGCGCUAUAGGGGAAUUGGACAACCAAUGUCCAUGUCAAAAGAGCGUCUAUUCUUCAAGCUCUCUUUACUUACCUUGGUGAGGAUGAGGCAUGCCUGGUGAAAGAAUACAUGGGCAAUCAAAAAGAAGAAUUUUUGAAGGACCUGACAAACACCGCCAUGGCCAUAUGUGUCAUCAAAAA